UUUACUCACCUUGUUUUCUCACAGAAUAUUACAACAAAAAAAGUGACAUCGUAUAAGCUGCCGAGGCAAUCUCGCUAUCAGUACUGGAUUUCUAUUCAAGCAAAGAAAGAUGAAAACAAGACGCCAUGGACUAAAGAGAAGUAUUUCAGUGCAGCUACAGAUCCGAGUGCAAUUCUAUAUCCUGUAGUUAUCAUCCCAUUGAUGUGUGCUGGCCUGGCAGUCCUCACUGUUGUGUGUUGCAGGAAGAAUAAGAAAGCUCUUUUCCCCAAAGUACCAGAACCUCGAGACCUCCUCAGUGAGAUUUCUAACAACAACAACAAGAGCGUUAUUCACAAACUGUACAUCCCUGCAGAGGAAGAAGAAAACUGCAAAAUCACUCUGGUGAUGGACCCCCAAACUCUCCUCCUAGCAAACCUCUGAAGUAAAGAUGUGUUUUAAACUGCAACACCUCAACAGCUCUCAUUCAUCUAUAGUGCUGGCUCGACAACAAAUUGGAAGAUUGAGUAGCCAAAUAUGUCGAUGGAGAUUAACUUAAAUAAUGGCAGCUACUGAACUCCUGCACGUGGUUAUUUUUUAGAUGCAGCU